CAGUCGCCGCGGUAAUACAGAGGGUGCGAGCGUUAAUCGGAUUUACUGGGCGUAAGCGUGCGUAGGCGGCUUCUUAAGUCGGAUGUGAAAUCCCUGAGCUUAACUUAGGAAUUGCAUUCGAUACUGGGAAGCUAGAGUAUGGGAGAGGAUGGUAGAAUUCCAGGUGUAGCGGUGAAAUGCGUAGAGAUCUGGAGGAAUACCGAUGGCGAAGGCAGCCAUCUGGCCUAAUACUGACGCUGAGGUACGAAAGCAUGGGGAGCAAACAGGAUUAGAUACCCGAGUAGUCCCUGUCUCUUAUACA
rnacentral:rRNA from 1 species